rnacentral:lncRNA from 1 species
UAGAGAGAAAUCUCUAACAGUUGAGCAUUACGGGCAAAACGUUUUAUAAGAAACAUUCGCUGAUAAAGAGAAUCGCCACCGAGGCAGCAGAUAAUCAUCUGUGGGAAAUGGAAGUCCUUGACUUUGUUUACAACCUCCAAGUAUCAAGCUUUUGGUCUGAGCCUUGAGCCUGAGAAGUCAGAGCUGAACAGGAUGAGCCCAGCACAGAACCCAUCUCUUUUCAGAAGAUAGCUCUCUCCAGCACUAACAGAAUAAAUAUCACUCAGAAUUCA